UACGGGGGGAGCAAGCGUUGUUCGGAUUUACUGGGCGUAAAGGGCGCGUAGGCGGCGCGACAAGUCACUUGUGAAAUCUCUGGGCUCAACCCAGAACGGUCAAGUGAUACUGUCGUGCUAGAGUGCGGAAGGGGCAACUGGAAUUCUUGGUGUAGCGGUGAAAUGCGUAGAGAUCGGGAGGAACACCAGUGGCGAAGGCGGCCUUCUGGACCAAUACUGACGCUCAUGCACGAAAGCGUGGGGAGCAAACAGG
rnacentral:rRNA from 1 species